AUGGGUAACAGUCACUAAUACUGCACUAGGUCAAAGCACGGGGGUGGAACUGUGGCACAGGGAACUAUGACUUCUUCCAGAUUGCUGUUAUGUUCACACUGGUCAGCACAACAAGAAAGUCCUGACUUUUCCACAUCAGAACGAAAACCAGGGAUUCUGAAGCUGACUUACUGAAGAGGUGAGUCUCUUGGGUUGGGCUGAAGCAGACAGUAGCAAUGGGCUUUUUGUGAGCCUUUAUCUCUCCGUAGCAGAAGUCGGCUGCCACGUGGAUCAGUUUGACAAUCCCUCUCCUCCCCGCAGCUGCCAGGAUGUUGUGAGCUUUCUUGCGGCUGUCGCUGAUUACCAUCGUGAGGGUUGUCCAUGCAACGCUGAAGAACUCCUGGGACAGGAGGAAAACGAGACUGGGGUGACAGAGAACAGCCAGCAGGGUGGUGGCUGUUAGCUCAGAGAAAAGACAACUGUCACAAGUGACACUUACUACUCAGACCUACUCAGGUGAAAUGACAUGACUAUUUAAGAUGGAGCAUCAAAACACAAAACAGCUCUCAGAAGAACAUAAAAUAGACAAAGAGGAUAUUUAUUCCUCUUUGCUGUCAAGCAGGCUCAGCAGCCAGACACAUCUGUAUGAAUACUGGCAAGCUAAUCUCCAAAACUAAUCAAAAAAUAAACCCAAAGCAGGCUAAAAGGAUAAGCAAGUAAUGUUUUCUAUCUAUCUAUCUUCAUCCUAACAUCUGUCCACACUAACACUUUCAGACCUCUUUGUAAUAUAUAUUAUGCAUGUGUGUAAUUAUUACAGGUUGUGGUAUUCCCAUUCAAUGCUUACCCUUCCCACUUGCAACCCACCUCUGUAGCCACUUUAUACUUUUUCAGCACCGUCCCUGUCUCACAAUCAAUCAGACAGACAGAUUCCCCUCCACAGGUUGCCACGGUUCUGGAGGAGCUCACAAUGGGAUCUGAAAGAGGAAAAGAAUGGGUGAGAAGUUCCCAGGUUCAGGGAUAACACACGAAGACUGCAGCUUAUCACUGCCUGGUGCUCUCCCAGUCUCCUGUCUUCAAAGUCAAAGGAGAAAUAUGUAAGCAAGUCUCUUCCUGACAACGGAGACUAUGGCUUGAAAGAGCAGGGGUCUAAGGCAUGGAGUCCGCUGGGAUUCCAGAGCCAGGUGGUUCUGGGAAUCCUGCAAACCUCUUUAAGAGCUCACCUUUCCUGGCUCCAGAGUCUAGCACUGGCUCGAAGACACCGGACCAGAGCUGCGUUUUAAAAUCCUCGCGGCUGUUGCCUUUACUGUGACACUGAAGAAAAUGCAAUGGCUCUGCACUGACAUCCUCCUACAAUAAACCAUCCACAUUUAGAAAAUUCA